AUUGAACGCUGGCGGCAGGCCUAACACAUGCAAGUCGAGCGAGCGGCGGACGGGUGAGUAAUGUAUGGGGAUCUGCCUGAUGGAGGGGGAUAACUACUGGAAACGGUAGCUAAUACCGCAUACCAUCAGAUGAACCCAUAUGGGAUUAGCUGGUAGGUAAGGUAACGGCUUACCUAGGCGACGAUCCCUAGCUGGUCUGAGAGGAUGAUGAGUCAUACUGGGACUGAGACAGGGCCCAGACUCCUACGGGAGGCAGCAGUGGUUAAUAUUGCACAAUGGGCGCAAUCCUGAUGAAGCCAUGCCGCGUGUAUGAAGAAGGCCUUCGGGUUGUAAAGUACUUUCAGUCGGGAGGCGUUACCGACAGAAGAAGCACCGGCUAACUCCGUGCCAGCAGCCGCGGUAAUAC
rnacentral:rRNA from 1 species